UACAGAGACCUUAAGCGUUAUCCGGAAUCAUUGGGCGUAAAGCGUACCGAUAGGUGGUUUAGAAAGUCAGAAGUGAAAUCUCUCAGCUUAACUGGGAGACUGUCUUUUGAAACUUUUAAACUAGAGGGGCAAAGAGGAAGCUGGAACGAACGGUGUAGUAGUGAAAUGCGUUGAUAUCGUUCGGAACACCAAUAGCGUAGGCAGGCUUCUGGGUGCCACCUGACACUGCUAGGACGAAAGCGUGGGGAGCGAAUGGG
rnacentral:rRNA from 1 species